UCUAAGGCUGUGCCACCCUGAACAUGUCCCAUCUUGUCUAAUCUUGGAAGCUAAGCAGGGUUGGGCCUGCAAGGAAAGGGGUGUUGCAACCCAGGGCUCCCAUUUAAGAGCCCAUGGCCCCACGGUAACCUUCAGAG
rnacentral:rRNA from 1 species